ACCAGGAUGGCUGAGUGGUUAAGGUGUUGGACUUAAAAUCCAAUGGAUAUAUGUCCACGUGGGUUUGAACCCCACUCCUGGUA
rfam:Alligator mississippiensis ScZkoYb_55, whole genome shotgun sequence.